rnacentral:tRNA from 1 species
UCAGAAAAAGAGGACUAAACCUCCAUCACCAGCUCCCAAAGCUGGCGUUUUAAAUUAAACUAUUUCCUG